CCUACGGGAGGCAGCAGUCGAGAAUCAUUCACAAUGGGGGAAACCCUGAUGGUGCGACGCCGCGUGGGGGAAUGAAGGUCUUCGGAUUGUAAACCCCUGUCAUGUGGGAGCAAAUUAAAAAGAUAGUACCACAAGAGGAAGAGACGGCUAACUCUGUGCCAGCAGCCGCGGUAAUACAGAGGUCUCAAGCGUUGUUCGGAAUCACUGGGCGUAAAGUGUGCGUAGGCUGUUUCGUAAGUCGUGUGUGAAAGGCGCGGGCUCAACCCGCGGACGGCACAUGAUACUGCGAGACUAGAGUAAUGGAGGGGGAACCGGAAUGCUCGGUGUAGCAGUGAAAUGCGUAGAUAUCGAGAGGAACACUCGUGGCGAAGGCGGGUUCCUGGACAUUAACUGACGCUGAGGCACGAAGGCCAGGGGAGCGAAAGGGAUUAGAUACCCCAGUAGUC
rnacentral:rRNA from 1 species